CGGAAGGGAUGUAUUUAUUAGAUUAAAAACCAAUGCCCUUCGGGGCUCACUGGUGAUUCAUGAUAACUCCUCGAAUCGCAUGGCCUUGUGCCGGCGAUGGUUCAUUCAAAUUUCUUCCCUAUCAACUUUCGAUGUUUGGGUAUUGGCCAAACAUGGUUGCAACGGGUAACGGAGGGUUAGGGCUCGACCCCGGAGAAGGAGCCUGAGAAACGGCUACUACAUCCAAGGAAGGCAGCAGGCGCGCAAAUUACCCAAUCCCGACACGGGGAGGUAGUGACAAUAAAUACUGAUACAGGGCUCUUUUGGGUCUUGUAAUUGGAAUGAGUACAAUUUAAAUCCCUUAACGAGGAACAAUUGGAGGGCAAGUCUGGUGCCAGCAGCCGCGGUAAUUCCAGCUCCAAUAGCGUAUAUUAAAGUUGUUGUGGUUAAAAAGCUCGUAGUUGAACCUUGGGCCUGGCUGGCCGGUCCGCCUCACCGCGUGUACUGGUCCGGCCGGGCCUUUCCCUCUGUGGAACCCCAUGCCCUUCACUGGGUGUGGCGGGGAAACAGGACUUUUACUGUGAAAAAAUUAGAGUGCUCCAGGCAGGCCUAUGCUCGAAUACAUUAGCAUGGAAUAAUAGAAUAGGACGUGUGGUUCUAUUUUGUUGGUUUCUAGGACCGCCGUAAUGAUUAAUAGGGACAGUCGGGGGCAUCAGUAUUCAAUUGUCAGAGGUGAAAUUCUUGGAUUUAUUGAAGACUAACUACUGCGAAAGCAUUUGCCAAGGAUGUUUUCAUUAAUCAGGAACGAAAGUUAGGGGAUCGAAGACGAUCAGAUACCGUCGUAGUCUUAACCAUAAACUAUGCCGACUAGGGAUCGGACGGUGUUAUUUUUUGACCCGUUCGGCACCUUACGAGAAAUCAAA
rnacentral:rRNA from 1 species